ACACGUGUAUAUGCUUAGUCUACAUUUAAUGUGUUACAUUGUUUUAAAAUAACGCACCACAUGUUUGCAUAAUUUUUAUUUUUUAGUUUUACUUGUUCUAUCAAAAAAGAAAAAAAUGAUAAGAAAUAUCAACUUCUAUUUUUGUUUUUUACUAUGCUUGUCAUUUAAUGUAUUAGUAAAAAAUGCUUCUUCGGUUAAUAGACGAAACGACUUAACUAAUGAAAAUGCUUAUAAAAUGUUACUUGAAAAACUAGCAUAUUUAAAAAAAAAUAAUUGGAAAUGUAACCAAUUAUUUUUACUUGAGCUACUUGACUUAGUAAAUAAAAAAAUUGAUGAAUUAAAACAAAUUAAAAAAGAAGCUGUAAAUGCAAAUGUUAACUUAAAUUUAAAAGAAGAAGAGCAUUAUGAAGAGGAAAUAGAAGAAGAGGAAGAAGAACAAGAAGAAGAAGAACAAGAAGAAGAAGAACAAGAAGAAGAAGAAAACGAAGAAGAAGAAGAAGAAGAAGACGAAGAAGAAGAAGAACAAGGAGAACAAGAUGAGCAAGAAGAACAAGAACAAGGAGAACAAGAUGAGCAAGAAGAACAAGAACAAGAUGAUGAAAAGAACAAACAAUACAUUUCAAACUCACAUGUACAAUACAAGUCAUAUUUAAAAAAAAAAAAAAAAAAAAAAGCAGAAGAUUACAAUUUUAAAAAUAGACAUUUACACAUGAAAAGUAAUAAAAAUAAAAAGAAAAAAAAUGAUAAUAAUUGUUAUACACAUUAUGAUAUAUUUGAAAAUAUAAAUACUAAUAUUUUAUCAAAUGAUGAUGAGGCUGAUGAAAACUAUAACGUUUUUAAAAACAGUUCCUAUACAUCAGAUAAUAUAAAUAAAAACAACGACACACUUGAUUUGUCUACAGUAUCCGUAAGUGAUGUCAUUAAUGGAACGUCACCAUUGAAAUGUAACAUGAGUACUGAAACAAAUGAAGGAAUAAAGGCUUUUGAUUUUUUACAAAAUGAAGAUUUUAUACACUCAGCAAAAUUAGAAGUAUCACAAGAAAAUGUACAAACAAUAGAACAAAAUAAUAAUACCAAAAUUUUAAAAAAAAAAAAAAAAAAAAAAAAAAAAAUGGGUCGACAUGAUAAAACAUCAACUACUGAUGGUUCUAAUAAAAGGGCUAAUAGAAAUAGGAAUUUUGACACACCUGAUGAUAAAACACCUGCUAAUAAUUUUUGGGACAUCCAAAAACUAACUGCACUAAUAGAUUUAAAUAAAAAUUGGGAAUUAACAAAUAAAAUUAAUAAUUUAACUAUAAAUAAAGAAAAAGGUGAGGAUAUGAUUAAAAUUUUUGACAACAUUUUUAAAAAAAACAAAAAGGGUGAAACUAAUUCUAAAGCAGUAAUGGCUUUAAUUAAAAAUUUAUUAAAUAAUGAAAUUUUUAAAAAUAAACUAAAAAAAUAUAUAUUUAGUAUAAUUAAAAAUCAAAGUAAAUUAAAAAACAGUAAGCAAAAUGAUGAGUUAUUUAAACUUAUAUACCAAAAUGCUAUAAAUAUGAUCGACAACUCUUUAGCUUUUUAAAAAGGUCAAUACCAUACCAUAUGGUUUGCACUCUGUGCAUACAUGUAUACUUUUUUUUUUUUAUUUUUUUUUUUGUUUUUUUAUUAUUUUUCUUUUUAAUCAUCAUAUAUUUGAUUUGUGUGAUGUUAAAUUUGUAUAAUAUUUUUAUUUCCCUAUAACUUCAUGUGUUUUCAUGUUCUGCCACAACAUCUAUCUAUUUUAAAUUCGAAUUAUAUAAUAACUAUGAAUAAAAAAAAAAAAAAAUAAUAAAAUAAAAACUUA
rnacentral:lncRNA from 1 species